ACGCUGGCGGCAGGCCUGAGGCAUGCAAGUCGAACGAGAAAGCCCUUUCGGGGGUGAGUAGAGUGGCGGACGGGUGAGUAACACGUGGGAACCUGCCCUGUAGUAUGGAAUAACCAGUGGAAACGGUGGCUAAUACCGUAUACGCCCUUCGGGGGAAAGAUUUAUCGCUAUAGGAUGGGCCCGCGGCAGAUUAGCUUGUUGGUAAGGUAAUGGCUUACCAAGGCAAUGAUCUGUAGCUGGUUUGAGAGGACGAUCAGCCACACUGGAACUGAGACACUGUCCAGACUCCUACGGGAGGCUGCAGUCAGGAAUCUUGGACAAUGGGGGAAACCCUGAUCCAGCCAUGCCGCGUGAGUGAAGAAGGCCUUCGGGUCGUAAAGCUCUUUCGCACGUGACGAUGAUGACGGUAACGUGAGAAGAAGCACCGGCUAACUUCGUGCCAGCAGCCGCGGUAAUACGAAGGGUGCAAGCGUUGUUCGGAUUUACUGGGCGUAAAGCGCAUGUAGGCGGUAUAUCAAGUCAGAGGUGAAAGCCCAAGGCUCAACCUUGGAACUGCCUUUGAUACUGAUAAACUAGAGUACGAUAGAGGAUAGCGGAAUUUCCAGUGUAGAGGUGAAAUUCGUAGAUAUUGGAAGGAACACCAGUGGCGAAAGCGGCUAUCUGGAUCGUAACUGACGCUAAGAUGCGAAAGCGUGGGUAGCAAACAGGAUUAGAUACCCUGGUAGUCCACGCCGUAAACGAUGAGUGCUAGAUGUUGGGAACAUUUGUUUUCAGUGUCACAGUUAACGCGUUAAGCACUCCGCCUGGGGAGUACGGCCGCAAGGUUAAAACUUAAAGGAAUUGACGGGGACCCGCACAAGCGGUGGAGCAUGUUGUUUAAUUCGAAGAUACGCGAACAACCUUACCUACUCUUGACAUCCCGAUCGCGAAUUUCAGAGAUGAUUUUCUUCAGUUUGGCUGGAUCGGUGACAGAUGCUGCAUGGUUGUCGUCAGCUCGUGUCGUGAGAUGUUGGGUUAAGUCCCGCAACGAGCGCAACCCUUACUGUUAGUUGCCAUCAGGUUAUGCUGGGAACUCUAGCAGAACUGCCGGUGAUAAGCCGGAGGAAGGUGGGGAUGACGUCAAAUCAGCAUGGUUCUUACGAGUAGGGCCACAAACGUGCUACAAUGGUAACUACAAAAAGCGGCGAACUUGCAAGAGUGAGCUAAUCUUUUAAAAGUUAUCUCAGUUCGAAUUGUCCUCUGCAACUCGAGGGCAUGAAGUUGGAAUCGCUAGUAAUCGCAGGUCAGCAUACUGCGGUGAUACGUUCCCGGGUCUUGUACACACCGCCCGUCAUCUCAUGGAAGUUGAUUUUACCCUAAGUCGGUGAGCCAAUCUGGCAGCCGCCCACGGUAGGAUUAGUGACUGGGAGCAAGUCGU
rnacentral:rRNA from 1 species